GCUUGAAAGAUGCAUAUUUAUUUAUUUGGUGGCUUGAUAUAGGUUAUCACUGUAUACCCCUGACCUUCCUGGAACUUCCUAUGCUGGCCUUGAACUCAUAAUGAUGGCAUAGCCUCCGUUUCCAGAGUACUGAGAUUAAAGGUAUACACCACCAUACCUGGCCAAAAAAGAUAGAUAAUUUUUGUCUGUCUGCCUGUCUGUCUGUUUGUUUUCAAACCAGGGUUUCUCUGUGUAACAGUCCUGGCUGUCUUGGACCUCACUUUGUAGACCAUGCUAUCCUCUUAUCACAGAGAUCAGCCUGCCUCUGCCUCCCAAGAGCUGAGACUAAAGGCACUAUCACCUAGCAAAAAUAGAUAAUUUUUAUCUCACUCUCCCUUCCAGGUAUUGUUAAAAACCGCAUAAUACUGGCAUAGCAAGUUUAAAUAACACAGAAGAGAAACUAGCCACUUGCAGUCCCAUUAGCCUCUUCAACUUUUAUAAAUUCCCUUCCAUUGUUUGCCCACCGGCACACAUUGUACAUUGUAGUGCAAAUGUUCUACCUAAGUGUUCCAUCUUGUGGUGUGAGUGUGAGAGAUAUGUGUACCAUGGUUGCAUGUGGAGUCAGAACAGUUCUGCAGAGCUGGUCCUCCUUGUCCACCUUAAUGGGUUCUGGGAUUGUCUGGCUCAUGCAGCAAGUGCUGGUGCACACUGUACCAUCCAAAAGCCUCUUUUCUUUCUUUCCUUUUUAAAGAUUUAUUUAUUUUUAUGUUCAUUGGUGUUUUGCCUGCGUGUAUGUCUGUGUGAGGGUGCCAGAACCCCUAGAACUGGAGUUAUAGACAGUUGUGUGCUGCCAUGUGGGUGCUGAGAAUUGAACCUGGGUCGUCUAGAAGAGCAGCCAGUGCUCUUAACUGUGCAGCCGUCUCUCCAGCCACCCUGUUUGUUUGGUUUUUUUAGUUAACAUUAUGCCAUAGAUCCCUUUGGCAUCCCCAGGUGGCGUUUAUAAUGCUGACAUGUGCAGUCCAUUUCUGCCAUUGGAUGCUUACAUUGUUUCUAACCACACACUGCAGAGAACAUCCUUGAGUGUGAAGUGGUUUUGUUUUCUCAUUUGUUUUCCAUUUGGCUUAUUUUCUUGGAACAGAUACGUUCUCAGAAGUGGAAAUACUGGGUCAAAAUUUAUUAACACUUUUAUGGUCCUUGAAACAGGUUGCCAAGUCACUGUAAAACUGUAGGUGCAGGACACUCCGAGAGAAUGGGAUCAUGUCAGAGUCCAGGAGGCAACAUGUAAAAAGGCACAUCGGCCGGGACAGACUUGUGCCGUGUAUCCUUUGGGUGCCCUGGUAGCCAGAUGCAGAAAGAGGUGGCAAAUGCUAUUGUUUGGCAAACUAAGAAGCUAUUCUUCGGGUCCUUGGUUGCUAUUGCCUUGCUGCAGAAGGUAGAUGGUCUUCCCAGAUUCUGUGGCUGCAAGUGACAUUCUAACUCCAUUCUGGGAUCUGGGAGGAUUCCUCCUCUUCCCUCCCCAUCUCCUUUUUCUCCUUCCUUUCCUCUUCUCAUUUUUUUCUCUUCUUCCCUCUCCUCUAUUUUGUUUCCUUCUUUCCUUUUUCCUUCCUUCAGUUUAUAGAUCUUCAAUUGGACAUUAAAGGCUUUACAUUUAUUAUUGUUGUUGUUGCUAUUAUUUUUAGGGACACAAAACUAUGUCACAAGUGUAGAGGUCAGAAGACAACUUUUGGGGGUUGGUUUUCUCUUUCCACUGUGGGACCCGGGGGAGGACCUCGGACCUGUGUGGCAAGUACUUUUACCAGCUCAGCCAUCUCAAUGGCCCAGCGUUUUUUGUUUGUUUGUUUGUUUGUUUGUUUGUGUUUGUUUUUGUUUGUUUUUCCUUUUUUGGUUUUUGUAUUUUUCUCAAUGAGAAGAAAAUAUCAUUUGGUAUUAUCUCUCUUUUCUUAUUCCUGCCCUAAAUGCAAAUGUAGUGCUAGUGCGGCGAUGGUCAUGUUAAGACUAUAAAGUUACACAAACACGAGGACAAAGAAUCAGCACAUGAGGGUGGUAGGAAGGAGGGAGAAUCUUUACCUCUGAUAGCAUCAGCUGAGCAGUUGAAUCAACCCCACCAACUGCCUGCCUCUGUUAUGCUAUGUGGGAGAAAUAAACCCUUAUUACACAAAACCCUGUUAGGACUGAUUCCUGUCUUGUUAGUUGAGAGUUCAAUACUGUCUAAUGGAACUGGAUCGUUGCAGUCCAUCUGCCCACUACCUGCCCACCACAGUGGGGGUCUCUUCCUGAUCCUCUAACAGAAGUCUCAUGGUCUCAGGAACACUCCUGUCCCUGAGCCAGGCCAGGCCAGGCCAGGCCUUUGUGUUCAGGAGACUCGGGUCACUGCCUAUCUCUUUGUCGUAGUGCUGGGGAUUGAACCCAGGACCUUGUGCAUUCUAGACAAGUACACUACCAUUGAGCCAUUUAAUCAGCCCUUGGUAGUUUCAAGAUAGACCACAUUGUAUAGCCCAAGCUGGUCUUCAGCCUCCUGAGUGCUGGGAUUACAGACAGACUCCACUUUGAAAUAAGAGAAUCUUGGGCCCAAAGUGCCAGAUUCAUUGCAGACUCUUUCCCUCACCUGUUGUCGGACAUAGUUAACUCACUUCUGUCUGAGAGCAGUUUCCCUAGGGUCAGUCAGCAUUGACCAGGGCCAAGCUUGGGGUCAAGAUUACUAUAACAAGUGCAUGCUUGCUUAUUGUCUUCUGACUGCAGACUCAGAGGAUAUGGGGAGCCUAGGUUCCCUUCCACUGUGAGGAACCACAUGUAAACCUUUCUCUUGGGUGGUUCUAGAGCCGCAUGGCCGCUUCUGUGGGGACCUGAAGCUGGUCACUCUGGACAGACAUGACAGCAGAGUUGUCUCCAGUAGGCAGUUUGGUGUGCACAGGGCCUGGCGUUCGCCACAGUCCACACCAGAGACAGGAGGAGGCUGGUUUCUGGCUGUGGGCUGGUGGCAACACUGUACCCAAGCUCCACAGUGGCCAUGAAGAUCCCCAGAGGCCAUCACCCCCAUGGCACAUGAUCCCCAGAGGCAACUAGAAGCAGGUCAGCGAGUUUGCAGUACAGUACGGGCAGGCACUGGGCCUAAGCUUCCCCUGUGAGUCCUGGCUGGUAUUAAGAGCACUUACCCUGGCCAAAACGAGGCUCUAACUCCCUUAAUGCUUCUUUCUUUGGCAGAAAAAAAGUCUUUAAAAAUCCUUAUCAAGGAAUAAAAAGAAAAUCUAUGGAGGUUUAAUGAAUCACUGAAUUGAAAGAGCAAAAAUGUAAACCACACACACACAGACCAUCCUGGCCUGAGGGAUUGAUGGGAGAGAGGUUUCUUUCCAUGUUGAUUGACAUUGUCUUUGGUGGCAGGGCUGAAGUACAGAGGGGAAGGGAGCUGAGGUACUCCACCAGGGGACCUGAGGACCUGGGAGGAAAGCUCCCAACAUGGUAGCUUUUCAGGAAUGGAGAUGUUGUGUGAAAGCAAGCCCGGAAAUACUAGUGAGUGCCCAGGACUUUCAUCCCCGUCCCCAAACGUGAUCUCCCAAGGACUCACCCACCGCAAAGCUGCCUAGAGAAUGAUCUACAAUACUCAUGGAUUUCAAAUGGCUGAGUUUAUUAAGCCUGUGUCAUGAAUACGUAAAGAAAAGAGCUGGAGAAGUGGCUCAAUGGCUAAGAGCACUGGCUGCUGUUCCAGAGGGCCCAAGUUCAAAUCCCAGCACGCACAUGGCACUUGACAACUGUCUGUAACUCCAGUUCCAGGGGGAUCUGAUACUUUCUUCUGACUUCCCCGGGGUACCAGACACUCAUGUAUGCACUGGUGCACAAGCAUAAAUUCUGAGAAAACACCCAAACAUAUACAGU
rnacentral:lncRNA from 1 species